UGGAUUUAAAUUUUAUUUUUUUAUUUUUAUUUUUUUUUUGUCUUCCCAAUUAUUUUUAUCAGUUGGAGGCUAAUUACUUUACAAUAUUGUAGUGGUUUUUGCCAUACAUUGACAUGAAUCACCCAUGGAAUUACAUGUGGUCCCCAUCGUGAACCCCCCUCCCACCUCCCUCCCCAUCUCAUCCCUCUGGGUCAUCCCAGUGCACCAGCCCCAAGCACUUGUCUCAUGCAUCCAACCUGGACUGGC